rnacentral:rRNA from 1 species
AUUGAACGCUGGCGGCAUGCCUUACACAUGCAAGUCGAACGGCAGCACGGGUGCUUGCACCUGGUGGCGAGUGGCGAACGGGUGAGUAAUACAUCGGAACAUGUCCUGUAGUGGGGGAUAGCUCGGCGAAAGCCGGAUUAAUACCGCAUACGAUCUACGGAUGAAAGCGGGGGACCUUCGGGCCUCGCGCUAUCGGGUUGGCCGAUGGCUGAUUAGCUAGUUGGUGGGGUAAAGGCCUACCAAGGCGACGAUCAGUAGCUGGUCUGAGAGGACGACCAGCCACACUGGGACUGAGACACGGCCCAGACUCCUACGGGAGGCAGCAGUGGGGAAUUUUGGACAAUGGGCGAAAGCCUGAUCCAGCAAUGCCGCGUGUGUGAAGAAGGCCUUCGGGUUGUAAAGCACUUUUGUUCGGAAAGAAAUCCUUGGCCCUAAUACGGGCGGGGGAUGACGGUACCGGAAGAAUAAGCACCGGCUAACUACGUG